rnacentral:rRNA from 1 species
GACGAACGCUGGCGGCGUGCUUAACACAUGCAAGUCGAGCGGUAAGGCCCUUUCGGGGGUACACGAGCGGCGAACGGGUGAGUAACACGUGGGUGACCUGCCCUCAGCUCUGGGAUAAGCCUGGGAAACCGGGUCUAAUACCGGAUAUGACUCCAUGACGCAUGUUGUGGGGUGGAAAGCCUUGUGCGGCUGAGGAUGGGCCCGCGGCCUAUCAGCUUGUUGGUGGGGUGAGGCCUACCAAGGCGACGACGGGUAGCCGGCCUGAGAGGGCGACCGGCCACACUGGGACUGAGACACGGCCCAGACUCCUACGGGAGGCAGCAGUGGGGAAUCUUGCGCAAUGGGCGAAAGCCUGACGCAGCGACGCCGCGUGA